rnacentral:snRNA from 1 species
AGGCUCACUUCAGCAGCAUAUAUACUAAAAUUAGACUGGUACAGAGAAGAUUAGCAUGGACCCUACACACAGAUAACACACAAAUUCAUUGUGUUCCAUUAAAAAAGA